AAUUUGAUCUAAUCCCCGUGCUGUGAGGUGAGGAAAUCCCCACUGAGGAAGUGUGCAGCAGGGUAAACAGGACAAAAAACAAAGCCCCAAGCCAGCGCCCGCCUCCAAGGUAGCCUCCUGCCAGCCACCCUGGGGUGCGCGGAGGUGAUGGGGUCACCUUCAGCCUCUCCAGGAUGAUUUCUGGAUGCUAUUUCCCUGGGUUGUGAUUUUGUGCUGUGCAGUCUGGGCACCGCGGGAGCUCCUCAGCCCAUGCUGGUGAAGGAGGUGACAUCAAGGCAAACCAAGAGCUUGGUGGAUGGAUUUGGGAUGGAUUGCUGCAUGGCACAGCACGAGCCCAUCCCUCAGAGCCAGGACCAUUCCCUGUCGGUGGCAAUGUCCAACCCCCAUGAGUGGGAUAUGGCACGGAGGAUGGCAGCUCAGGGCAUGGCAGCAGCAGGGGCAUCCCAGGCGUUUGGCAGUCGAACGGUGAUUUGGGCAUGCGGGGGAAGAGGAGCACAACUUUGGGCAUCCCAACACGAGGGCUGAUAUUUGGCCCCUGGCCGGGAACACGGACCACCUCGCCAAGCUGCUGUUCCCGUUUGUCAUUCAGCGCUAAGGAAAUCUGCGCCAUUCUCUGUCAUCCUCCCCAUCCCGGAGGAUAAUUGAUGCUAACGUCAUUUCAGCUCGGUCCAGCUGCCAGGCUCAGGAACAGAUGUUUUAUUGUUCCAAUUGAGAACAAAAAAAAAGCAAACCCCCCCCCCCCCCCAAAAAAAUAAAAGCAGCGCCGCUCAGC
rnacentral:lncRNA from 7 species